CUGGAGAGAUGGCUCAGAGGUUAAGAGCACCGACUGCUCUUCCAGAGGUCCUGAGUUCAAUUCCCAGCAACCACAUGGUGGCUUAAAACCAUCCGUUAUGAGAUCUGGUGCCCUCUGCUGGUGUGCAGAUAUACAUGGAAGCAGAAUGUUGUAUACAUAAUAAAUAAAUAAAAUCUUAAAAAAAAAAAAAAAGAUUUAUCUUUAGGGCUGGAGAGAUGCUCAGAGGUUAAGAGCACCAACUGCUCUUCCAGAGGUCCUGAGUUCAAUUCCCAGCAACCACAUGGUGGCUCACAACCAUCCGUUAUGAGAUCUGGUGCCCUCUUCUGGUGUGCAGAUAUACAUGGAAGCAGAAUGUUGUAUACAUAAUAAAUAAAAUCUUAAAAAAAAAAAAAAGAAAAGAAAAAGGGAAAAAAAAAGAAAGAUGAUCCAACACCUUCUGGCUUCUGCACUGUACACAUGUGGUAUGCAUACAACAAAAAGCAGGCAUACAUAUAUACACACAAAAAGUAGUAGUAAUAAUAAAAUUUAAGUUUUUUAGGGAUUACAGAGAUGGUUCAGUGGUUAAUAGUGUAUAUAUAUUAUACUGUUUGUUAACAGAAAACACAUGGACAACCAUGUUUUCUUCUUUCUGCCUUAUUUGAGCAUUUUCCUUCCCUUCCCUUCCUUAAUUUUUAUCUUUUGUACCUACAUUGUGUCCGAAUCUUUCCCUUAAGUUCCCUCACACACCCAUCCACAUACCUUACCAUUUGGGUUAUCUGUGAGCAUCAUUUUAUCCAAUAGGGAGAACUUAGGCCAAGAACAUUACUAUAAUUCCUGCUAACUUCUGCAUGACAAUAAUAUCUUUCUUGUGUCUAUCAGGGAAUCAGCAAGUGAUGUCCUAAGAGAAAACAGGGUCACCAGGACAAACUAAUUACUACAGGACAUGUUUCUAGGCUGUAUUUUCUCAGUUUAUUUUCUUUAUUUGGGGUUUGGGUGGGGCAUUGAAAGGAUCAAACCCAGGACCACGGCACUUCAGGCAGGGACUCCACCACUGAGCUACAUGCCCCAGCCCUACUAUAAUUAUUUUAUUAAUGUUAUGUAUAUAUGCGAAUACCACAUGUAUUUAAGUGCUCAGUUGCCUGAGGAGGCCAGAAAUGGGCAUCAGAUCCCCAAGAGGUGUAAUUACAGGCAGUUGUAAGAUGCCCGUGGGAGAUAGGACAGUCGGUAGGCACAAUUAACUGCUGAGCCAUUUCUUCAGACCUUAAUAAUUUUUAUUUUAUUUUUCGGCCAGAUGUGGUAGCACACAUCUUUAAUUCCAGCACUCCACAGGCAGAGAGGUAGGCAGAUCUCUGAGUUCAAGGGCAGCCUGAUCUGCAAAGCCAAGACCCUGUCUGAAAAAAUACAAAAAGGAAGCUAGAGAAAUGGCUCAGGGAUUAAGAGCACUUUCUGCUCUUACAGAGGACCCAAGUUCAAUUCCCAGCACCCACAAUGCACAGCUCACAGCCUCUCAUAAAUCCAGUUCCAGGAGACCGGC
ensembl:lncRNA